UGUCUUUUUUUCGCACGAAAU
rnacentral:piRNA from 1 species